rnacentral:lncRNA from 1 species
CCUGCACAAGUAUAAUCAAUAAGGGGGGGCCUAUUUCCAGAUAUGAUAAUCCACAACAUGAUCAUCAAUUAAUUCCUUUUUCGUUUUAAGCAAAAAUUAAAUUAAAUUGAAAAUUAAAAUUAAAGACUUAGCAAAAGUGUUAUCAAAAGUCAAAUAUUGCAAUCAUGUCAAUAUGAAUUUCCCUUUUGGAACCCUCAUAUCAUGCGGCAAUUACCUGUUAAGCACUAGCAAUCUAGUUUAUUGAGCAGAAUUUUAAAUUCCAUAUGAUUCCUAAGCAUUGUUUUCUCCAUAUUCCAAUUGUCCUCAAUUCUUGAUACCUUCUCCAUAAAACCAGAGUUGAUAAACUUCUCCACUUACAUUGAACUACCUUUUUGUUAUGUUCAAGAGAAGUUGCUGUUAUUGGUGGGCAACAUGCAUUAGGAAAUGAAAGUUCUUAGCUAUAUCCUAUGGCAAAGUAGAGGAUCACAACAAGCACUUUCUUGUUUUAUGUACCGGGAUAUUAAAUUGCAUGCAUCCACAUCCUAUCUGGUCACAUAAAGGCCAUUACUCAGUAUUAGUCUCGCUUAAGCAUGCCUGGAGGUCUGAAAAGGUUCUAACAGUAAGCAUUGUUGCAUUAAGAUGGUCUUUCCAGUACUCAAACUUGCACAGAAAAUGCUCCUUCUAAGUUCUAUGCAUUGUACAAACCACACACACACACACAUCUUUUGAAAAUAAUCCUGACUGCAUUCAGAACCCAGGAAAUGCAGGUCAUCAGAUGGCAACCAUAGAUCCAAUCAAUAAACUACUACUUUGCAAAAGCUUCUUGAAGGAAGCAUUAUAGGUUGAAUUCUCAUGUUAUUUCCAAAUGCUAGGUUAUUUCCAAAAUAUAGGCUUCACAAUACAAUAACAUGCAUCUCAUUCUGCAUCAAAAGAAGACAAAGGUUGAUUCUGAAGAAGACAAAGGUUGAUUCUGCGCACAUUUCUGAUGAUAUUAUUCAUAGCAUAACAAUGAAUUUUCUCAAGAUUACACAUUUCUGUAUCCAAUGGAAUACCUACAAGAUAGCACAGCAACUGUGCUUUACCUUCUCGUCUUUUGGGGUAAAGAUGGCUUU